UCCCACUUUGAUACUCCAAACUCUGCGUUCCAAAAUCCUCACUUCUCCCCAAUUUCAAACAUAGUUCUCUUACUACAUCAUGAAGUUUGCAUGUCUCGUAUUUUCUUCCCGGUCUGACACCAUCAUAAAUUUCGACUUGGACGAUGGACCUGGAGGCCAACUCACCCAAGUAGAGCUCUGCAAUUUCCUUCAAAGUUUUGUCCUUGUCUCCAAUAGAAAUCAUGCCUUGUGCUCUCCACAUCAAAUAUAGAUCGUCAACAUCUAUAUCUUCAUCCUCUUGAAAUAUACCCAUAUAGAGAAAGCAAGACUUCAAAUAAUAGGGUAGACUUUCAUAGCUUAAAUUUAGCACUCCAUCAAUCUCACUUUCACCUCUAUAUAUGAAUUCUNAGAAAAUGUUAAAAAUAUUUUCACACCCCUACCAUAGGAUAAUAAUCAAAUAUUAAAGAGAAAAUGGGUGAAAAUGAAUUGCUCGAAAAAAUAUUUGACCCUCCUCGGAAAAAAUUUCCACCAUACUAAACAUGUGAAAAUGGUAAAAAAUGAGUGAAAAUAUAUUUUCUCUCUCAUUUUCCAUCAAUGUAAACGUAGCUUUAGUACUAUGUUUACAGAAGUAUAUUUUCUGGGAUGUGUCAUAUAAACAUCGAGUACUGAUACAAUAUUUGGGGCAUUUUCGUUAAUCUUUUGGACCUUAACUCUCUCAUUCCAUUGCUCAAAUAAUGGUGAAGGUAUAUGCUGAAUUGGCAUUAUUAAGAAUUUUAUGUUUCGUUUUACUAUCAGUCUUGAGAAACACUUAAUUUGUUGACAUGGAAAAUUGAGUCUAUUGUUCGCCCUCUCUCUCUUCAACUGACCAUUUCCCUUGUUUUUUUCCUGUCUAAAUUUAUAGAUUGAGUUUAAAAUUUUGAAACGUUAAUUACAAACAAUUAAUUGAAUUCAAACACAACAGGAAUUUGAAUACAAUUCCCUAUAUGUUGACCGGAAAAGAGUCCAACUAAAGCAGCUUCAAAUCCUUACAAAAAUCAACAAUUCAAGAACUCCUUAAUGAUAGUGUAGUGCUUUAUUUUAUCAAUGAUUUGACAUAUUUUAUUAUAGAUUAUAUUUUUAAUUACGCUUUUCGUUUGUAUAUAGAAUAAAAUACUCUAAACUGGCUAGUGUAGUGCUCUCGUGAGCAACUAGCAAUAUUUCCUUAAUGAUAGUGUAGUGCUUUAUUUUAUCAAUGAUUUUGACAUAUUUUACUAUUAUUUAUGAAUGAACACUUUAUUCACUUUACUAUUAUUUAUGAAUGAACACUUUAUUCACUUGGUAUCCUCUAUUUCGAUUUUUUUUUUGUGUUCCACUAUUAAUUUUUUAAAAUUAUUCUUCAUUUAAAAAAAAAUUACAAUAAAGUAUGAUUUUUACAAUUAAUAUAAUUAAACUUUAUAGUUAAAAAUAAUAAUUAAAAAAAAAUCAAUUCUUUGCAAUAAAAGUUAAUUAGGAUUCCCUAUAUAAUAUUUAUUUUAUUUUAUAAUAAAUAAUAUUAAAUUAGUAAAACCAAAAUUUGGUAAAAGUUCAUGUAAUUAAACGCAAUUACGUUUUUUUUUUUAUGAAAUUUCUUUACAAGUAAUACAAACCACACACACCCCACCUAUGGUGGUUAUUGUGGCCGAGAGUACUCGAACCUGUGACCUUUUGGACAACAGGCAACCACCCCAUCCACUAGGCCAUACCAAGGGGACCGCAAUUACGUUUAAUUAAACGGAAAAGAGGCCAACCAAAGCAGCUGGUGCAGCUUAAUUUCCUUCAACAGUAUCUUCAACCUAAGCCAAUUUUUCUAAUUUUGCUUGCAUAGUACAGUAUAUUCGUAUAGUUAUAUUAAGCAACACAGUUUCAAUUUAUUGGAUUCUAAACAACCAAGCAACAAAAAUCACAAUACAAGAACAGAAAUAAAGCUUAAAUCUGCAGAAGUUACAAGCAAAGGCUCAUGGGCCGAAUCUUACCAAAAUAACUCCAUGUGGAACUAAGCAAGUCUAGAAUAAAUUCUCCAGAUUAAUUAAUAAUACAAGGAAUGGAAUAUAUAUGGCCACCACGCCCAUGUACAAAAGAAAUAUACACAUUUAUUUGAAAGAAAGUGAUUAAAGCGAGACAAGGUUGCAGAGAAAAGAAUGCAAAUAAUUAAAGAGAAACACUUGGGACAUGGAACAACAAGACUGUAGGUCGAAGGGGGGGGAGAAAAGUACCCUGCAACAAAAACCAAGAUGAUACAAGUUUAGAAUGCGUCGAGCUUUAUAGUUAAAACCUUAUCGAGAUACCAUCUUUUAGAGAAAAACUAAAUUGAAGCAACAGAAUUGGGAAUUGAGAAUGAGAUUGGUGCAAGCAUUACCCGGGUGGAGACUAGACUAGUUAGUCAAGGAUGAUAAUUGAAGGGACAUGGCUGACUUUGUGGAAAUCCUCUCCUGAUGCGAUACCCUCUUCCCCAUUUCCGCAUUAGAAUCUCAUUUCCGAAGGUAGAAAUGCCACUCAAACCAUUGGAAGCAUCUUCAGACUGGAACAAUAUCGAUCUCAAUUCAGAGAGAAGGGGCAUGGCUCCUGCCUCCACUCUCCACUCCCUCAACUUUGAUAACUAUAGUAAGACUUGAGGCGAGGAAAACUGUUUGAUGGACACGUCAUCUCCUCCCCCACAAAUGAUUUCCUCCAUAAAUGCAAAUAUAUCAAGCAAGGAAGCUUCCCCAGUAUCCCCAUUGGAUCAUCCUCAAUCUCACAUUCGGACAGCACCAAACUUAUAAGUUUUGAACUGAUGAAGUCACUCCCGCACUCUGCUAGCGCCUUCCCUAACUUAACUUCAAUCCACAACUCAUGAAGAUUGGGACAUGUGAUUACCUUCUUCAGUGUUAACACUCCAUUAUUUGUUCCUAACUCGCAACCCUUUUUGAUUUCAACCCUACAAAACAGUAACUUUUCCAUGAGAGCAAUGGCGUCGAUGUUGGCUGACAAGCUUUCGUUGUCGUAUAUUUUUGUUGAGAAAGUUCGCAGAUUCUUCAUUCUGUUCAUACAUUUUAAAUCAUGCACUCUACUAUCCAAAUUCCACAGGGUCUCCAACUCAAUCACUCCCUCGUCCAAUGUCAAUCGAUAACUUCCAAUUUUUUCCUCAUCAUAAUCGGGAAGAACCAAGUGCUUUAAACGUACCAUCUCCUUAAAAACAUUUGGAACUUCAACAUUCCUCGAAUCAGUUAAAUCAAGGGUAUCCAUGUAUACCAAAUUCCUUAUGGACGAUGGUAGCUUAUCAAAUUCACAUCUUUCUAAACGCAAACGUCUAAGGUGAACAAGACUAGUGAUUCCUUUCGAUAACUUUCUUCCUUCAAAUUUGAAUCCCACCAUAACUAGAUCUCUCAACAAUUUGAAUUUCUGAAAAUCAACGAUACCUUGCGGGGGAAACUCAACAAUAACACCCGAACCUUUGUGAUUGAACAUUUGAAGAGACCUUAAAUGUUCGCUACUAUCUUCUCCCCAAGUGACUGUAAGCUCGUCAGGUUCCACUUGAACUUCUUUCCUGAAAUAUAUAGCCAAAUGCCGUAUUUUCCUAUGCGAGGAAGCUUUCCCACUUUGAUACUCCAAACUCUGCACACCAAAAUCCUCACUUCUCCCCAAUUUCAAACAUAGUUCUCUUACUACAUCAUGAAGUUUGCAGCUCAAAUAUCUUCUUCCAGGUGCGACACCAUCGUAAAUUUCGACUUGGACGAUGGACCUGGAGGCCAACUCACCCAAGUAGAGCUCUGCAAUUUCCAUCAAAGUUUUGUCCUUG
rnacentral:lncRNA from 1 species